AGCAGGUCACUUGAAGGACUAUCCUAUUUUUUUUUCCAAAAACUGGGACACAGACUUCCCCAUGAUCAACUUCUGCACAGUCUGGACAGCUUUCUGGCAGCAGUAGAGGUUGGCCCUGCAGCUUUGGGCAAGGCCCAUGGACAAAGAGAUCGCACCUGAUGGGAACAAUCUUAAAAGCCAUCUGAUUCUGAAUUACAGGACAGGCUGGAUGAAGACUCUCAGCUGACAAUGUGGACAUCUCAAGACAGGCACUGGACAAUGGCUGACAGACUUGUAUGAAGACUGGAAAUGUUUUGCUAUCUCAGAGGAAAAGAAGGCCCCUCCGACUACACUGUACUCUAAGGACAGUUUAUUCAGCCUCCUAGUGCAGAGCGCUGCAAUCCGGGAUCUCAAAAGUCUUGGGCUGAAGAAGUGGGAGAAGGUAGCAGCAGUGGCGGUGGGGUCGACAGGGG
ensembl:lncRNA